rnacentral:rRNA from 1 species
UACAGAGGUCUCAAGCGUUGUUCGGAUUUAUUGGGCGUAAAGAGCUCGUAGGCGGUUUGGUAAGUCGGGUGUGAAAGCUCCGGGCUCAACUCGGAGAGGUCACUCGAUACUGCCAUGACUGGAGUCCGGUAGGGGGGUGUGGAAUUCCCAGUGUAGCGGUGAAAUGCGCAGAUAUUGGGAGGAACACCAAUGGCGAAGGCAGCACCCUGGGCCGGUACUGACGCUGAGGAGCGAAAGCGUGGGGAGCAAACAGG